AUGUUUGCUAUGAGAAAUAUCAUUUACCUGUCUCUGUGUCUGUUUCAACAAAUUGGCUAGCAUUGACCUGGAACCUUUUGAAACUGAGGUAACAACAAGAGUUGGAUGUUUACUAAAUGAGUUAGUGGUGCUCUUUGUUUUUAUUUUUUUAUUUAUUCUUUUCUAAUUGAUACUGCAACUUUAUUAAAACUAAAGGGAAUUGUAUUGGUUAUGUGAAGAACGUGACUUUAUUCUCAUGUAUGCCCUUGAUGUUUGGGUUUGUUCUGUAACAGAAAUCUGCAUUGCUAGGAUUUUCAAUACUUAUGGGCCACGCAUGAAUAUUGAUGAUGGGCGAGUUGUCAGCAAUUUCAUAGCUCAAGCAUUUUGACUUUAUGCAGGAGUGAAUCCUUGACGGUCCAAGCUCCAUGAACACAAACCUGAAGUUUCUGUUAUGUUUCUGACAUGGAUUUUAAUCAAUUGCGCCUAAAUUUAGGCUUACAAGCACUUCAGCCUUUUGACGCCACUCGUGCUAGGAGUAUACCAUAUAGAGGAUUUGUUUGUUUAUUUAUUUAUUUAUAAUUCAAGACCAUUUUCAAUUUAUUGUAAUAAAUAUUAUAUUUUUUUAUUUUAUAGUAAUAUAAAUUUUGUGUAAUAUUCAGUUUUCAUUAUAUUGCAACAUUUUUUGUUUCAAAUAUU